GCAGUGCCUGUGACUUCCCGGAGCGGGGCUGGGGCCAGGGCUGAGGCCAGGGCAGACAGGCAGGGAGCCCAUCCUGGUCCCGGUGCAUGCCCCUGCCACCCCGGAGCCGCUCAAGCAUAGCCGGUUAACUCAGUUGCUCAAAUGUCCAAGGAAAGUGAACACAAAAAGGAUAUACGAUCUCUGUGUUUUGGAGCAGGAAAUGAAAGUGGAAAGUAAUCAGAACUCUAGUGGAAGUGGAAUGUUUCCCUUUUAAGACACUCUCUAAACUGCUAACAGCUUUGGAUCCAAAAGCAAGCUAAGAUCCAGUCAGCAGGCAGCUCAGGCUGAGAUAGCCGAAGAGCAAACCUCCUUCCUCCUGCUAUGGCUGCCUCCUUCACCUCAGAGAACUGAAUUGCUCAAUCACUUCUGCCUCUCUCAAGCUUUUUUCAGUGCACAUGUAAAAAAUUAAAAAGUGGCAGUUUGAAUUUCA